rnacentral:misc_RNA from 1 species
CUGAACACCUGUGCACCUUCUUGCGGGCCGACCCUCUGUCGGCCUGGCAUCAGAGUUUGAUGAUAAUCAACCCAGGUGGGGCCUCCAUUGGCCAUCACUCCACAUCACACGCGGUGGGAUGGGAUUGGGGCAAACUUGGUUAGAUGUCAGAUUCUAGAUGCUACACACAAACCUGUCAAUGUAUGGUGUUGAAUUGAAACAUGUAACA